CCCGGGAGGCGGAGCUUGCAGUGAGCCAAGAUCGCGCAGCUGCACUCCACCCUGGGCGACAGAGCGAGACUCUGUCUCAACAAAAUAAAAGAAAAAAAAAAAAAGGAAAAUUGUGCUAAUUUUCAGUUAACAGUUCAAUUGAUAUUUUGCACCUUUUGAUAGACAAAUAUGUCUUUAUGGCCCCACAGCUAUGUCUGACAAGGGAAAUUUCUUUCACCUAUCAUCCAGCAUUCCGUUGUUCUUGCUCCGAGGAUGACAAAGAGGCUCAAUCAAGACCCAGGCCUGAUUGUUAAUCCAAAAAUAUAGAAGGCCUCUGCUUAGCCUUCUCAUAAUGUGCCCAUUCACUUUGCUGACACAGGCUCAAAAACCUAUUUUUCCGUCUUGGAAAAUGAUGAAAAAGUUUGCAUGGAUUUUACUGUGGAUCCUGGUCCACAAGAGAUGCAGACAGCAGGGGGACGGUGGCAGGUGGCCUCAGUGCAAGCCUCGUCAUAACUUGCUGGCUUGUUUCACUGUGCUGCUUCUUCAUUGCCCCCACAAUGCUUUCAUGCCUCUGUGAGAGAAAACCACCCUCCCUGAGUCACGGAAACAAGGCCUGGGAAUGCUUUUGUGUGGUCUUAUCUGCUUCAGUCUCCCCCUUACUACCUGUAGCUUAAACAUGACAGGAACAACCCAAUAAAAUUAGCUUCGUGGGAUGAGACAGGAAGAAAAAUGUCAAGAAGGCAGUCCCUCUCCCCACCUUCUUCUCAAUCUGGGUGAACACACCCCGGCUUCAGGAGUUUUUAGCCCACUAGACAAAAUGCUCUUGGGCUCUUACUGGUUUAAUGAACAGAACAAACUCUUGGGGACAAAAAAGGACAAACCUGCCCACUGAAAAUUAUGUGACUCAGGCUCUUUUAAGGCUCGUGUUUGGCCAGGGGAACAGCGCUUCCUGGAUUGACUACACUGAGCGUGUUCCUCAUCACCUCCUGCCUACACGACUCUCAGAGCCUUUGUGACCAAGUGUUUAUUGUCAGCAGCAACCCAGGGAUGCAGGAUCAGCUAGUGCCUUGUUAGAAAAACAUUUUACAGGUUUGGUAAGAUGACUCUGGGAAGUGGCUUUGAGGAGGAAUAUAUCUGAUGUUAACGCUUUCUGGACUUUAGAGAUAUGGGGUUUUUUCAAAAGGAUUUUUGCCUUCAAAUAUAGAAAACAGACUCUUUGUGGUGAGUAUGCUUUUCCUAACACAAAGACUGAAUUUGUAAACAUCUGUUUAUGAAAAAGUUGCAUUUCUCAACAUCGUGGCCUGAUCUUCUAAACCAAUACAUAAAUGGAUCUUCAGUGCACAUGGAAAUCUUUUGCAUUUGAAUAUAAAAAUCUAUUGAGGGAUACAGAAGGGAGAGAAAGAAUUGGGUAAAUAAAUACAAAAACUCUUAAGAGCUUCUGGGCUGGUUUCAAGAAUGCCCCACAAAACAGGUUUUCAUGGUUGUAUGGGGUGAUGUGAUCCUAUUCAAGUUUCUUCCCUUUCUUUAGAAUUUCUGAAGAAGCUGUUGAAAAUGGCUUCAGGGGCUGUUCCUAAAAUAGAUUUUAGAGAUGAAAAAAUGAGAGAAUGCACAUACAAUCUGAGACAAAUGAGCAGCUCUGAUACUGAAGCAGAGAUUGUAAGAUGACUGCUGUGCCUUGCAAGAAAUGAAUAUUCAGGAUGCCCCUGCUGGGUGCCUUUUCCUAUUUGAACCAAAUACUGUUUGGGCCACGAUUCACUUGUUACCAAAUUAAACACUCUUUGCACACAGCAGAGCAACUUUACGAAGUCGGAUUUUGAAGUGCAAACAUCUUUUCUGCUGUGGCCACGGAACCUGUCACAAUCUUCAUCGGGAACUGAAUUAAGUUUAAAAUAUCAUCAGAGGGUGUUGAUCUCUCCUGGGCCUGGAGCAGUCCUCUGUACAUCCGGCAUUUUUCUGUUGACACUGCGUAUCACUUAGCAACGGGCCUGAAAGGCCCUAUAUGCAUUGAUUGCACGCCAUUGUCUUUAAGGGGUGGAAGUGUUAACUGAAUAAACCCCCCGGGUGACCAGACGGUCAUUCCUCUCAUGUUGAUCAUCUGUUUACAUCAAAAUAUUGUUUAUUCCAUUCUCUGAUCUCCUAAUUUUUACAUCUCUGACUGAAGGAAUAAAGUAAAUUUCCUACAUGGUGGAGAACCCCAAUUUACUUUCCUGACAUGGUGUGAUGAGAACAGUUUUGUCCCUAGUUCUCCUGAUAAAGCAUUAAAUGCAUUUGACAGUUAACUGCGGGUGAUAAUGCCAACUUUCUUCUAUGGUUUUCAGAGGAUGGAGAAGUUACAAGCCUGCAAUGUCCCCAUAGAGAGAAAAUAUUCCCUUCGGUCUGUGAAUUGUUUUUGAAAUAAACGGCAGAAUGUGUUAUAUGAUUGUGAAGAGGUUAAGGCUUUAAAGUGGCUGGCAGGCUCUGACAUCAACUGAAUGAAAAGGAAAUAUGGCCUAACCAAGGGGUGUUUUCAGAAUGAAUGAAAUUUCAAAGUGGAAAUUCUUGCCUGAGAGGCAGCAGUAGAGCUCAUUUCUGCAUCAAUAGCCAUGGCUGAAGCAAUAGACCAGACUGGUGGGUCAGACAGGCAUUUUACCUCACACCUCUCCCUUUUAUAAUGAUCUGUUUCAGAGGGCUUCCACGGACGCCGUUUUUCACAAACACCUCAGACAAUGAGAAUGUUUCAGCUCAGGGAUUGUACAUGUAGGCAAAAACCAGAUCAGUGGGGUUACAUGCCCACCUUCAUCAACCAUGUACUGGAGACAAAAUAGAAAUUCUGGGCUUGCUGCCCUACAAUGUCUAGUUUUGAGAAAUCUGUUUUGCUCCUUUGUGAGUUUAUAGCCUACUACACCCAGCUUUAAAGAGAAGAACUACUUAUUAAUGUCUUGAGAAAUAUGCCCUAUUCAACAAGAUAAGCAAUUCCAAAAUCAACCUACUGAUGAUCUUGCUAUGGUGUUGCUUUUGUCUGGUAUAAGGGAACUGGAAUAAAAAAUGAUAGCGCCAAAAGAUUUACUGGUGAAUUUUAAAGUUUUCUCUCUCCACAGUCCUCUUCAUCAAAUAGGAAUGCUGUUUAAGAGAACCAUAUUCUACGAAUGCUUCCUCUUUGACAAAACCCUUGGGCCUUUACUCUGUGCUUUCAUAAGAGGAAAAUUGCAAUUACAAAGUUUUGAACAUAGUUACCUAUGAGUGGGGAUAUGAGAACAAUAGCAGGAGAAAAUGGAGAUCAUCAUUCUACGCAGCACCAGCUUAAGUCAGCUGAGUAGAAAAUAACAGGUUUCAACACAAACAUCUGUACAGACCUCACUCUGGAGAAAUUACUUUGCGUGGAACCCAGGAAAUUAGUUGGAAGAAUUUGUUCACUGUCUCUUUCAAGUUUUAACAGCUUUACUUAAGAACUCAACUAGCAGAUGAUUUCUUUCCAUUGCUUUCUAAAUCAAUCACAAAUGUCUCUUUGAGAAAAGACCAAUGAAAAUUAAGUAGUAGUAAGAAGAGACACACCAGUGAUUGCAAAGUGGAGAGGCUGGCUUCCCUCUGUUAUGGACUGGAUUCUGUACCCCCAAAUUCAUAGGUAAACCCUAACUCUCAAUGUGAUGGUAUUUGGAGAUAGGGCCUUGAAGGAGAUAAUUGAGGUGAAAGGAAAUCAUAAAGGUGGAGCCCUGAGCCAAUAUGACUAGUGUGCUCAUGAGAAGAGGAAGAGACACCAGGGAUGCGCACACCCAGAGAAAAGGCCAUGGGAGGACACAGCAAAAAGGUGGCCAUCUGCAAGCCAAGGAGAGAGGCCUCAGGAGAAAUCAAACCUGCCGACCCCUUGAUCUUGGACUUCCAGCCACCAGAACUGUGAGAAAAUAAAUGUCUGUAGUUUAAAACCACACGAUCUGUGCUAUUUUGUUAUGACAGCCCUAGCAGACUAAUAUAGCCUCCAAGUUAAGAGCCAAACUUCCUGUGAGUGCCCUGUCAUUGACCAAGUGGCUUCUAGAACCACUUCAGCCCAUGACUCCUCCACCAGACAUUGUCAGUGCGAAGAGAGUUUUAGGGCCACAGCCAUGAAGAGCUUGAAUGAAACCAGCAGAGCGUUGCAGGGCAGCCUCUGUUUGACCUUCCACUCGGGAAGGAUUAAUGGCCAGCCCUUUGUGUUAGGAGAGGAUGCUCUGGCCACAUGCAGCCAGACAUGGGGGAGUGUUGUUUCCCAGUUCCAGUGAUAGGUUGGCCUACGCUGGUCUCAUGCUCACACUUGGUUCUCCUAGGUCACAAGUUAGCAGGAAGUAAGCAGGGGGUCAGGGUAGGGCUAUUAUUGUUGGCUGAAGCAUAGACUAGAGCAAUUGAUCUGUACAGUAUUGGACCCACAUCUAACUCUGGGGCCCCAGUUGUCUUGGCUUUUUCCAGCUUUGAUUUCACUGCCUCUCUGAGAGUCAGUUUUUCCUACUAAUGGAAUGUUUUCAAAGUGAGCUCAAGCCCAUGCUCAGUGGGAAAUUCUUCCCUGAAAUCAUUUGUCACAGAAUCAUUUGGCCAUCUAAGACGUUUAUUAUCCUACUUACUGGCAGUAAGUUUCAUAGAAGAGCACAAGAUACUCUGUAGAUUUUUGUUCCCCUUAAAAAGCUGAUAUUCUAGAAUCUGUCCAACAU
rnacentral:lncRNA from 1 species